rnacentral:rRNA from 1 species
UGGGGAAUUUUCCGCAAUGGGCGAAAGGCCUGACGGAGCAAUGCCGCGUGGAGGUGGAAGGCCUACGGGUCGUCAACUUCUUUUCUCGGAGAAGAAACAAUGACGGUAUCUGAGGAAUAAGCAUCGGCUAACUCUGUGCCAG